rnacentral:tRNA from 1 species
AGGUCAGUAGUUCAAUUGGGUAGAGCGUCGGUCUCAAAACCCGAAUGUGGGGGGUUCGAGCCCCUCCUGCCCUGCCA